AUUGAACGCUGGCGGCAGGCCUAACACAUGCAAGUCGAGCGAGCGGCGGACGGGUGCGUAAUGUCUGGGAAACUGCCUGAUGGCGGGGGAUAACUACUGUAAACGGUCGCUAAUACCACCUACCAUCAGAUGUUCCCAGAUUGGAUGCGCUAGUAGUUGGGGUAACGGCUAACCUAGGCGACUAUCCCUAGCUGGUCUGAGAGGAUGACCAGCCACACUGGAACUGAGCCACGGUCCAGACUCCUACGGGAGGAAGCAGUGGGAAAUAUGCCACAAUGGGCGCAAGCCUGAUGCAGCAAUACCGCGUGGUUGAAGAAGGCCUUCGGGUUGUAAAGCUCUUUCAGCGGGGAGGCGUUACCCGCAGAAGAAGCACCGGCUAACUCCGUGCCAGCAGCCGCGGUAAUAC
rnacentral:rRNA from 1 species